rnacentral:rRNA from 1 species
UACGAAGGGUGCAAGCGUUACUCGGAAUUACUGGGCGUAAAGCGUGCGUAGGUGGUGAGUUAAGUCUGUCGUGAAAGCCCCGGGCUCAACCUGGGAAUGGCGGUGGAUACUGGCUCGCUAGAGUGCGGUAGAGGAGAGUGGAAUUCCCGGUGUAGCAGUGAAAUGCGUAGAGAUCGGGAGGAACAUCAGUUGCGAAGGCGGCUCUCUGGACCAGCACUGACACUGAGGCACGAAAGCGUGGGGAGCAAACAGG